rnacentral:rRNA from 3 species
UUAAGUGAAUAAGGGCGCACGGUGGAUGCCUUGGCACUAGGAGCUGAUGAAGGACGGGACUAACACCGAUAUGCUUUGGGGAGCUGUAAGUAAGCUAUGAUCCAGAGAUUUCCGAAUGGGGGAACCCAAUAUCUUUUAUAGGAUAUUACUUUUCAGUGAAUACAUAGCUGAUUAGAGGUAGACGCAGAGAACUGAAACAUCUUAGUACCUGCAGGAAGAGAAAGAAAAUUCGAUUCCCUGAGUAGCGGCGAGCGAAACGGGAAGAGCCCAAACCAACAAGCUUGCUUGUUGGGGUUGUAGGACUCCAAUAUGGUAGUCUGUUAGUAUAGUUGAAGGAUUUGGAAAAUUCCGCUAAAGAGGGUGAAAGCCCCGUAGACGAAAUGCUAACAACACCUAGGAGGAUCCUGAGUACGGCGGAACACGAGAAAUUCCGUCGGAAUCCGCGGGGACCAUCCCGCAAGGCUAAAUACUCCCUAGUGACCGAUAGUGAACCAGUACCGUGAGGGAAAGGUGAAAAGCACCCCGGAAGGGGAGUGAAAUAGAUCCUGAAACCGUGUGCCUACAACAAGUCAAAGCUCGUUAAUGAGUGAUGGCGUGCCUUUUGUAGAAUGAACCGGCGAGUUACGAUUGCAUGCGAGGUUAAGUCGAAGAGACGGAGCCGCAGCGAAAGCGAGUCUGAAUAGGGCGAAUGAGUAUGUAGUCGUAGACCCGAAACCAUGUGAUCUACCCAUGUCCAGGUUGAAGGUGCGGUAAAACGCACUGGAGGACCGAACCCACGUACGUUGAAAAGUGCGGGGAUGAGGUGUGGGUAGCGGAGAAAUUCCAAACGAACUUGGAGAUAGCUGGUUCUCUCCGAAAUAGCUUUAGGGCUAGCCUCGGAAUUGAGAAUGAUGGAGGUAGAGCACUGUUUGGACUAGGGGCCCAUCUCGGGUUACCGAAUUCAGAUAAACUCCGAAUGCCAUUCAUUUAUAUCCGGGAGUCAGACUGCGAGUGAUAAGAUCCGUAGUCGAAAGGGAAACAGCCCAGACCACCAGCUAAGGUCCCAAAAUAUAUGUUAAGUGGAAAAGGAUGUGGGGUUGCACAGACAACUAGGAUGUUGGCUUAGAAGCAGCCACCAUUUAAAGAGUGCGUAAUAGCUCACUAGUCGAGUGACCCUGCGCCGAAAAUGUACCGGGGCUAAACAUAUUACCGAAGCUGUGGACUACACCAUUAGGUGUAGUGGUAGGAGAGCGUUCUAAGGGCGUUGAAGGUCGAUCGUGAGGACGGCUGGAGCGCUUAGAAGUGAGAAUGCCGGUAUGAGUAGCGAAAGACAGGUGAGAAUCCUGUCCACCGUAUGACUAAGGUUUCCUGGGGAAGGCUCGUCCGCCCAGGGUUAGUCGGGACCUAAGCCGAGGCCGAUAGGCGUAGGCGAUGGACAACAGGUUGAUAUUCCUGUACCAGUUGUUUUUGUUUGAGCAAUGGAGGGACGCAGUAGGCUAAGGAAUGCAUGCGAUUGGAAGUGCAUGUCCAAGCAAUGAGUCUUGAGUAGAGUUAAAUGCUUUACUCUCUAAGGACAAGUUGUGACGGGGAGCGAAAUAAUAGUAGCGAAGUUCCUGAUGUCACACUGCCAAGAAAAGCUUCUAGUGAGAAAACAACUGCCCGUACCGUAAACCGACACAGGUAGUCGAGGAGAGUAUCCUAAGGUGAGCGAGCGAACUCUCGUUAAGGAACUCGGCAAAAUGACCCCGUAACUUCGGGAGAAGGGGUGCUGACUUCGGUCAGCCGCAGUGAAUAGGCCCAAGCGACUGUUUAUCAAAAACACAGGUCUCUGCAAAAUCGUAAGAUGAAGUAUAGGGGCUGACGCCUGCCCGGUGCUGGAAGGUUAAGAGGAUGGGUUAGCUUCGGCGAAGCUCAGAAUUGAAGCCCCAGUAAACGGCGGCCGUAACUAUAACGGUCCUAAGGUAGCGAAAUUCCUUGUCGGGUAAGUUCCGACCCGCACGAAAGGCGUAACGAUUUGGGCACUGUCUCAACGAGAGACUCGGUGAAAUUUUAGUACCUGUGAAGAUGCAGGUUACCCGCGACAGGACGGAAAGACCCCAUGGAGCUUUACUGUAGUUUGAUAUUGAGUGUUUGUACCACAUGUACAGGAUAGGUAGGAGCCGAUGAGACCGGAACGCUAGUUUCGGAGGAGGCGCUGGUGGGAUACUACCCUUGUGUUAUGAACCCUCUAACCCGCACCACUAAUCGUGGUGGGAGACAGUGUCAGAUGGGCAGUUUGACUGGGGCGGUCGCCUCCUAAAAGGUAACGGAGGCGCCCAAAGGUUCCCUCAGAAUGGUUGGAAAUCAUUCGAAGAGUGUAAAGGCAGAAGGGAGCUUGACUGCGAGACCUACAAGUCGAGCAGGGACGAAAGUCGGGCUUAGUGAUCCGGUGGUUCCGCAUGGAAGGGCCAUCGCUCAACGGAUAAAAGCUACCCUGGGGAUAACAGGCUUAUCUCCCCCAAGAGUCCACAUCGACGGGGAGGUUUGGCACCUCGAUGUCGGCUCGUCGCAUCCUGGGGCUGUAGUCGGUCCCAAGGGUUGGGCUGUUCGCCCAUUAAAGCGGCACGCGAGCUGGGUUCAGAACGUCGUGAGACAGUUCGGUCCCUAUCCGUCGCGGGCGUUGGAAAUUUGAGAGGAGCUGUCCUUAGUACGAGAGGACCGGGAUGGACUUACCGCUGGUGUACCAGUUGUUCUGCCAAGGGCAUUGCUGGGUAGCUAUGUAGGGAAGGGAUAAACGCUGAAAGCAUCUAAGUGUGAAGCCCACCUCAAGAUGAGAUUUCCCAUUUCUUUAAGAAAGUAAGACCCCUGAGAGAUGAUCAGGUAGAUAGGUUGGAAGUGGAAGGCUAGUGAUAGUUGGAGCGGACCAAUACUAAUCGGUCGAGGACUUAACCAA